GAUGAACGCUAGCGAUAGGCUUAACACAUGCAAGUCGAGGGGCAGCACAAGGUAGCUUGCUCUCUGGGUGGCGACCGGCGCACGGGUGCGUAACGCGUAUGCAACUUGCCCUAUACAGGAGGAUAACCCGUCGAAAGACGGACUAAUACUGCGUAUGCUCACAACUUGGCAUCAAGUGGUGAGGAAAGAAAUUCGGUAUAGGAUAGGCAUGCGUCCCAUUAGCUUGUUGGUGAGGUAACGGCUCACCAAGGCAACGAUGGGUAGGGGAACUGAGAGGUUUAUACCCCAGACUGGUACUGAGACACGGACCAGAAUCCUACGGGAGGCAGCAGUGAGGAAUAUUGGUCAAUGGGCGCGAGCCUGAACCAGCCAAGUCGCGUGAAGGAUGACUGUCUUAUGGAUUGUAAACUUCUUUUAGACGGGAAUAACAAGAGUCACGUGUGACUCCCUGCAUGUACCGUAUGAAUAAGCACCGGCUAACUCCGUG
rnacentral:rRNA from 1 species